rfam:Triticum aestivum genome assembly, contig: Triticum_aestivum_CS42_TGACv1_scaffold_220673_3B
CAAGUACUCCCUCCGUCUCGAAUUAGUCGACUCGGAUUUGUCUAGACAUGGAUAUAUCUAGACACGUUUUAGUGUUAGAUACAUCCAUAUCUAGAUAAAUCCAAGUCAACUAAUUUGGAACGGAGGGAGUAGUAU